rnacentral:rRNA from 1 species
GAUGAACGCUGGCGGCGUGCCUAAUACAUGCAAGUCGAGCGAACCACUUCGGUGGUGAGCGGCGAACGGGUGAGUAACACGUAGGUGAUCUGCCCAUCAGACGGGGACAACGAUUGGAAACGAUCGCUAAUACCGGAUAGGACGAAAGUUUAAAGGUGCUUCUGGCACCGCUGAUGGAUGAGCCUGCGGCGCAUUAGCUAGUUGGUAGGGUAAAGGCCUACCAAGGCGACGAUGCGUAGCCGACCUGAGAGGGUGAACGGCCACACUGGGACUGAGACACGGCCCAGACUCCUACGGGAGGCAGCAGUAGGGAAUCUUCGGCAAUGGGCGAAAGCCUGACCGAGCAACGCCGCGUGAAUGAUGAAGGCCUUCGGGUUGUAAAUUACUGUUAUAAGGGAAGAACGACUUUAGUAGAAAUGGCUAGAGUGUGACGGUACCUUAUGAGAAAGCCACGGCUAACUACGUGCCAGCAGCCGCGGUAAUCAUA